UAGGGAAUCUUCCGCAAUGGACGAAAGUCUGACGGAGCGACGCCGCGUGAGCGAAGAAGGUCUUCGGAUCGUAAAGCUCUGUUGUUAGGGAAGAAGAAGUGCCGUUCGAACAGGGCGGCGCGGUGACGGUACCUAACGAGAAAGCCCCGGCUAACUACGUGCCAGCAGCCGCGGUAAUACGUAGGGGGCGGGCGUUGUCCGGAAUUAUUGGGCGUAAAGCGCGCGCAGGCGGUCCCUUAAGUCUGAUGUGAAAGCUCACGGCUUAACCGUGGAGGGUCAUUGGAAGCUGGGGGACUGGAGUGCAGAGGAGGAGGGCGGAAUUCCUCGUGUAGCGGUGAAAUGCGUAGAGAUGUGGAGGACCACCAGUGGCGAAGGCGGCUCUCUGGUCUGUAACUGACGCUGAGGCGCGAAAGCGUGGGGAGCAAACAGG
rnacentral:rRNA from 1 species